rnacentral:rRNA from 1 species
UAUCCGCCCGGGUACUACGAGCAUCAGCUUAAAACCCAAAGGACUUGGCGGUGCUUUAGAUCCCCCUAGAGGAGCCUGUUCUAGAACCGAUAAUCCCCGUUAAACCUCACCUUUCCUUGUCUUUUCUGCCUAUAUACCGCCGUCGUCAGCUUACUCUCUGAAGAACUUGUAGUAAGCACAAGUGGCACAGCCUAAAACGCCAGGUCGAGGUGUAGCGAAUGGAAAGGGAAGAAAUGGGCUACAUUCAAUAAGAAUAAUGAAUACGAAUGAUGCUCUGAAAAGAGCUUCUGAAGGAGGAUUUAGUAGUAAGUAGAGAAUAGAGAGCUUUACUGAAACCGGCCCUGAAGCGCGUACACACCGCCCGUCACUCUCCCCGAGCUAAUUUAAACCAUACUUAAUAAGUAAACUCUGUAAAGGGGAGGCAAGUCGUAACAUGGUAAGCGUACCGGAAGGUGCGCUUGGAAAAACCAGAGCAUAGCUAAAUAACGUAUAGCAUCUCCCUUACACUGAGAAGACAUCCGUGCAACCCGGAUUGCCCUGACGCCCAACAGCUAGCCCGACCACCAAAAAUAAAUAAAUCAACAUUAAUAACCCCUCAGACACUAAAAUUAARCAAAACAAACCAUUUUCCCCUCUUAGUAUGGGAGACAGAAAAGAGAAUACGGCGCAAUAAAAAAAGUACCGCAAGGGAAAGCUGAAAGAGAAAUG